GCCAUAGCUCAGUAUUUGAGCACCUGCUUUGCAUGCAGAAGGUCCCAGGUUCAGUCCCCGGCAUUUGCA